rnacentral:misc_RNA from 1 species
AACCAAUAUACUCACCAAUAACACAGGAAGGGCCUUUGCUUACUGAAGAUCUUAUCAAAGAAAAUGAGGAGUUUGUGCUUCGAACUGGGAGUGUUGGUGCUGGGUGUUCUCAACUCCUCUCUGACAUGCAAGCCUUCAAGGCUGCAAAUCCUGGUUGUAUCUUGGAGGAUUUUGUAAGAUGGCACUCUCCUCCAGAUUGGACAGAUAAUCUUGAUGAGGCUAAUGAGUUUUUCGAGGGAG